GCGUCGGUGGUUCAGUGGUAGAAUACUCGCCUGCCACGCGGGUGGCCCGGGUUCGAUUCCCGGUCGACGCA
rnacentral:tRNA from 1 species